CCUACAGGAAGGUAAAGUAGAAGGAGCAGAAAUUAGCAGAAAGGUUCUGCAAGGGGUAGGAGGGAUCAGCAAAGAAUAGGAAGAGCGGAAGGAGUAGGAAAGGUUUGCAAGGAGCAGGAAGGUGAAGUAGAAGGAGCAGGAAGGGGCAGCAAGAAGCAGGAGGGGACAGCAAGGAGUAGGAAGGGGCAACAAGGAGUAGGAAGGGGCAACAAGGAGCAGGAAGGGGUAGCAAGGAACAGGAGGGGUCAGCAAGGAGCAGGAGGG